GCUUCAUGAUUCAGACCUUGGUGAGUGGCGGACGGGUGAGUAACACGUGGGUAACCUGCCCAAAAGUGGGGGAUAACAUCUGGAAACAGGUGCUAAUACCGCAUAACAACUACUUUCUCAUGAUCGUAGCUUGAAAGAUGGCUCUGCUAUCGCUUUUGGAUGGACCCGCGGCGUAUUAGCUAGUUGGUGAGGUAAUAGCUCACCAAGGCAAUGAUACGUAGCCGACCUGAGAGGGUAAUCGGCCACAUUGGGACUGAGACACGGCCCAAACUCCUACGGGAGGCAGCAGUAGGGAAUCUUCCACAAUGGGCGAAAGCCUGAUGGAGCAAUGCCGCGUGAGUGAAGAAGGUUUUCGGAUCGUAAAACUCUGUUGUUGAAGAAGAACAUGCGUGAGAGUAACUGUUCACGUACUGACGGUAUUCAACCAGAAAGCCACGGCUAACUACGUGCCAGCAGCCGCGGUAAUACGUAGGUGGCAAGCGUUGUCCGGAUUUAUUGGGCGUAAAGAGAAUGUAGGCGGUUUAUUAAGUUUGAAGUGAAAGCCCUCGGCUCAACCGAGGAAGUGCUUCGAAAACUGGUAAACUUGAGUGCAGAAGAGGAAAGUGGAACUCCAUGUGUAGCGGUGGAAUGCGUAGAUAUAUGGAAGAACACCAGUGGCGAAGGCGGCUUUCUGGUCUGUAACUGACGCUGAGAUUCGAAAGCAUGGGUAGCAAACAGGAUUAGAUACCCUGGUAGUCCAUGCCGUAAACGAUGAGUGCUAAGUGUUGGAGGGUUUCCGCCCUUCAGUGCUGCAGCUAACGCAUUAAGCACUCCGCCUGGGGAGUACGAUCGCAAGAUUGAA
rnacentral:rRNA from 2 species